GAAAGGGAAUGGGGUCAAUAUUCCCCAACCCGGACACGGAGAUCGGGCCUUCGGGCUCAAGUGCGGCGACGCAACCGAACUCGGAGAAGUCGACGGAGGACCCGGGGAAGAGUUGUCUUUUCUUUGUAAGAGUUCGUGUCCCUGGAAUCGGCUCGUCCGGAGAUAGGGACGCUGUUCUCGUAAAAGCACCGCGGCUCUUGCGGUGUCCGGUCCGCCUCUGUCGGCCCUUGCAAAUCCGAGGGAGAUGGUGUGAUUUUCGUGCCGGACCGUACCCAUAUCCGCAGCAGGUCUCCAAGGU
rnacentral:rRNA from 1 species